UUCAGUAGUUUUUCUGCUGCCUAGGGGGGAGUGUCGGAAAUCUGGCCUUAGUGCCACAAGUACGGCCACCUUCUCUGUACCCUUGUCUUUUUGCGUACUCAUGUUUCCUCGGUAGGCUUGCCUGCCGGUUGGACAACUUAAUAACCUUUUUAAUUCUCAAUCAGCGUCUGAAUAAUUAUAAUAAUUACAACUUUCAACAACGGAUCUCUUGGUUCU
rnacentral:misc_RNA from 1 species